rnacentral:rRNA from 1 species
UACGGGGGGAGCAAGCGUUGUUCGGAUUUACUGGGCGUAAAGCGCGCGUAGGCGGACCUGCAAGUCGGGGGUGAAAGCCCGAGGCUCAACCUCGGAACUGCCUUCGAUACUGCGGGUCUCGAGUCCGGGAGAGGUGAGUGGAAUUCCUAGUGUAGAGGUGAAAUUCGUAGAUAUUAGGAAGAACACCAGUGGCGAAGGCGGCUCACUGGCUCGGUACUGACGCUGAGGCGGCG